AUACGUAGGGUGCGAGCGUUAAUCGGAAUUACUGGGCGUAAAGCGUGCGCAGGCGGUUGUGUAAGACAGGUGUGAAAUCCCCGGGCUUAACCUGGGAACUGCGCUUGUGACUGCACGGCUAGAGUACGGCAGAGGGGGGUGGAAUUCCUGGUGUAGCAGUGAAAUGCGUAGAUAUCAGGAGGAACACCGAUGGCGAAGGCAGCCCCCUGGGCCUGUACUGACGCUCAUGCACGAAAGCGUGGGGAGC
rnacentral:rRNA from 1 species